rnacentral:rRNA from 1 species
GACGAACGCUGGCGGCGUGCUUAACACAUGCAAGUCGAACGAAGUGGCGAACGGGUGAGUAAUACGUGGUUAACCUGCCCUCCUUUUUGGGAUAAGCCUUGGAAACGGGUUCUAAUACCUAAUACAGGGGGAUGGGCUAGGGGCCUAUCAGCUUGUUGGUGGGGUGCUGGCCUACCAAGGCGGUGAUGGGUAGCCGGGCUGAGAGGGGGACCGGCGACAGUGGGACGGAGAGACGGCCCAGAGGCCGACGGGGGGCAGCAGUGGGGGAUAUGGAACAAUGGGCGAAAGACUGAUGCAGCGACGCCGCGUGGGGGAUGAAGGCGUUCGGGUUGUAAACCUAGUUAGCUAUAGAACGGGUAGGUGGAGAAGAAGCGACGGCUAACUACGUGCCAGCAGCCGCGGUAAUUC